UAAGGAAUAUUGCUCAAUGGGAGAAAUCCUGAAGCAGCAACGCCGCGUGGAGGAUGAAGGGUCUAUGACUUGUAAACUCCUGUAAAGAAGGAAAAAAUUCCCAUUUGAUGGGAGAUGAUGGUACUUCUGGAGUAAGCCCCGGCUAACUACGUGCCAGCAGCCGCGGUAAUACGUAGGGGGCAAGCGUUGUCCGGAUUUACUGGGUGUAAAGGGUGCUCAGGCGGAUUUGUAAGUCAGAGGUGAAAUCUUACAGCUUAACUGUGAAACUGCCUUUGAUACUGCAAGCCUAGAGUAUGGAAGAGAGUGAUGGAACAUCUGGUGUAGCAGUGAAAUGCGUAGAUAUCAGAUAGAACACCAAUGGCGAAGGCAGUCACUUGGUCCAUUACUGACGCUAAAGCACGGACGCGUGGGUAGCAA
rnacentral:rRNA from 1 species